rnacentral:rRNA from 1 species
UACGGGGGGAGCAAGCGUUGUUCGGAUUUACUGGGCGUAAAGGGUGCGUAGGUGGCCGGGAAAGUCUGAUGUGAAAUCUCCGAGCUUAACUUGGAAAUGGCAUUGGAAACUAUCUGGCUUGAGGGCCGGAGGGGAGACUGGAAUUCUCGGUGUAGCAGUGAAAUGCGUAGAUAUCGAGAGGAACACCAGUGGCGAAAGCAGCUCCUUGGUCCAUAACUGACAUUGAGGCACGAAAGCGUGGGGAGCAAACAGG